rnacentral:rRNA from 1 species
CGUAGUAGGUGAUAGUCCUGUAAGCGAAAGGGAAAAGGCUCUCGUUAUGCUCUUAAGUACCACUGGACACGUGAAAUCUUGUGGGAACCCGCCUCGACCACCAGGCAAGGCUAAACACUCUUGGCGACCGAUAGUGAAUCAGUACCGUGAGGGAAAGGUGAAAAGCACCCCGGGAGCGGAGUGAAAUAGAACUGAAACCGCAAGCUUACAACCAGUCAGAGGGUGCAGCAAUGCAUCUAAUGGCGUGCCUAUUGAAGAAUGAGCCAUCGAGUUAAUGGGUGUGGCAAGGUUAAGCGUCUUGAGACGUGGAGCCGUAGCGAAAGCGAGUCCGAAUAAGGCGACAAGUCGCACUCAUUAGAUCCGAAACCGUGUGAGCUAACCUUGGUCAGGGUGAAGCCCCGAUAAAACGGGGUGGAGGUCCGAACCUAUGAAUAGUACAAAAUUUAGGGAUGAACUGAGGUUAGAGGUGAAAUGCCAAACGAACUCGGAGAUAGCUGAUUCUCCCCGAAAUGUAUUUAGGUACAGCCUCAGCAAGUAAGUUACGGGGGUAGGGCACUGAAUGGGCUAGGGGGUAUACAACUUACCAAACUCAAUCAAACCACGAAUACCGUAACUGUAAUACUGAGAGUGAGCCGGCGAGGGCUAAGCUUCGUCGACGAGAGGGGAACAUCCCAGAUCCGCAGCUAAGAUCCCUAAGUGCAGUCUAAGUGUUAAAGGAAGUCAGAUCGCUCAAACAACCAGGAUGUUGGCUUAGAAGCAGCCAUCAUUUAAAGAGUGCGUAAUAGCUCACUGGUCGAGCGGUUUGGCGCCAACAACGUAACGGGGCUUAAGUCUGCCAUCGAAGCUCGGAAUUGGCGCGCAAGCGCCACUGGUAGGGGAGCGUUCUGUUCAGCAGCGAAGGUGUGCCGUGAGACACGCUGGAGCGGACAGAAGUGCGAAUGAUGGUAUGAGUAGCGCAUUGAAUGUGAAAACCAUUCACACCGGAAACCUAAGGUUUCCUACGCAACGUCAAUCGGCGUAGGGUUAGUCGGUCCUAAGCAGAGGGCGCAAGCCGUAUGCGAUGGAUAGCAGGUUUAUAUUCCUGCACUGUGUGUUUUUCGUUAUCAACUAAGGGAGGACGCAGGGAGAUAGUCAGAGCGCACCCAUUGGACAUGGUGCGUCUUGCAUGGUAGGCCAUGCUCUGGUAGGCAAAUCCGCCAGGGCGCUAUGAGCCGAGAGUGUGAGGAAGUGGAGGAGCGAUCCGAAGCGAUUCAGGCGAGUCUGCGCUGCCAAGAAAAUUCUCGUAGUGAGAAGAACAUGCAUCCGUACCGCAAACCGACACUGGUAGGUGGGGAUAAACGUCCCAAGGUGAACGGAAGAACCUUCGUUAAGGAACUAGGCAAUCUAGCCUCGUAACUUCGGGAUAAGAGGUGCCUCGGAGUGUCAGGAGAUUUACUCUCUAAAGCACCCUGAGGUUGCAGUGAAAUGGCUCAGGCGACUGUUUAACAAAAACACAGGCAUCUGCAAAAGCGUAAGCUGAAGUAUAGGUGCUGACGCGUGCCCAAUGUCGGAAGGUUAAAGGGAGAUGUCAGCGCAAGCGAAGCAUUGAACUGAAGCCCCGAUGAACGGCGGCCGUAACUAUAACGGUCCUAAGGUAGCGAAAUCCCUUGUCAGGUAAGUUCUGACCCGCAUGAAUCGCGCAACGAUCUGAGCGCUGUCUCAA